AUAUAGAUAUAUAUAGGGUGAGUAAUACUGAUAUAUUAUUGAGGUCAUAAGGGUAAUAUACACAUAUAAUAUACGGUUAGGUCUUGUUAUUUCCAACCACAAAGCAAGCACGGCAUUGUCAUUUUCAAAGCCACAGCGAUCUGCUUCCUCACGACUGAGCAAAGAAGUCGAUGGCCACUUAAUCUCUGGGAUUACACACACGAGAUUUUAAUAUUAUGGAUUAUGAAGUGUAAAGCUCGGCUGUUUAAUCAGGUUGCCUUAAAAAAAAUGAAGACGACAUAACAUGUUUGUAUCAUUAAUCAGUCUGUGAAAUUCCUUUGCAGAAAUUGAAUCUACCAGAUAUUCUUAUCUGUUCCAGAUUCCUUUGUAGAACCUCACAUUCCCUCGCCAAUUAAGCCUAGCUGAAUAGUGCCCAAAUGGGUGUUUGUUUUAUAUAUAUAUAUAUAUAUAUAUAUAUAUAUUGCCGAAA